rnacentral:rRNA from 1 species
ACUCCUACGGGAGGCAGCAGUGGGGAAUAUUGCACAAUGGGCGGAAGCCUGAUGCAGCAACGCCGCGUGAGGGAUGACGGCCUUCGGGUUGUAAACCUCUUUUAGCAGGGAAGAAGCGAGAGUGACGGUACCUGCAGAAAAAGCGCCGGCUAACUACGUGCCAGCAGCCGCGGUAAU